CCUUACCUAAGCUUGACAUCCCAAUGACAUCUCCUUAAUCGGAGAGUUCCCUUCGGGGACAUUGGUGACAGGUGGUGCAUGGUUGUCGUCAGCUCGUGUCGUGAGAUGUUGGGUUAAGUCCCGCAACGAGCGCAACCCUUGUCUUUAGUUGCCAUCAUUAAGUUGGGCACUCUAGAGAGACUGCCAGGGAUAACCUGGAGGAAGGUGGGGAUGACGUCAAAUCAUCAUGCCCCUUAUGCUUAGGGCUACACACGUGCUACAAUGGGUAGUACAGAGGGUUGCCAAGCCGUAAGGUGGAGCUAAUCCCUUAAAGCUACUCUUAGUUCGGAUUGUAGGCUGAAACUCGCCUACAUGAAGCUGGAGUUACUAGUAAUCGCAGAUCAGAAUGCUGCGGUGAAUGCGUUCCCGGGUCUUGUACACACCGCCCGUCACACCACGGGAGUUGGAGACGCCCGAAGCCGAUUAUCUAACCUUUUGGAAGAAGUCGUCGAAGGUGGAAUCAAUAACUGGGGUGAAGUCGUAACAAGGUAGCCGUAUCGGAAGGUGCGGCUGGAUCACCUCCUUUCUAAGGA
rnacentral:rRNA from 1 species